rnacentral:lncRNA from 10 species
CUUGCAAAGAAAACUAGCUACAAGAGGCAUUUUUAAUUAAGUGCUGUUAAGAUCACUUUGGCAGUGGUGAUGGGGUUUCACAGAUAUUAUUAAAUAAUAGAAAAAAUGUGUAUACAUUUUUCUGGAAGAAGCAUACAGACAUUUUCACAUUUUAAAAAUAUUUUUCAAAGAGUCUGUAACCCCCCUUUCAAAAGAUAAGAACUGCUGACUCAGAGGGAUACUAGUUGAAUUUAAGCAAUUCAGGUAAUUAACUGAAAUCAAUCAAUUCAAUUAAUGAGAAUAUGUUCUUAUUUGCCUGAUAAUCAUAUUUUUGUUAUUUUAAAGGAAAGCUGUUGAUAGAGAAAUGUUAUCCCAUUAUUUUUCAUGAUGAUGGGACUGAUAUCUCCCCAGAUGUAUUUUUGCUUUUCUAGCCAAAACCUGACAGCUAGCCUCCUCUAGUCAGCAGGGUUGCUUCGAAGACACAGUUGUGUGUGCUGGUCUUCAUUUGCUGUGAGUCUAAAUGGAAACCUAUAGGUGCUUUUCUGUGUCUUUGGUGUUUUCUGAAAAUAUCUCAUUAGACAUCUCAACAUGCUGGUAAGGUGGAAUCUCAAACAAUCACCACAUAGCAAUAGGGCCGAAGAACUCAGGGCUUCCUCCACUCCAACACUCUGCCUGUGCAUGUGACUUCUGCUCCAAGUCCUUGGUCCAGUCCUUAACCCAUUUAUGCCUGAGGUUGCAAUUUUUUGAAUUUUUGCCAUCAGACCUUGGCAAUGACCUUGAGCAGUGGGAUAUAAAUAACUUCCACAUGGUUAGCGUUGCAAUAAUGGAACGCUAGGCAUAAUGAUGUAAAUAAUGUUGGCACUUCUUCCAGAGAUCCCGAGGGCAGGAUCCUACUGGUGCCAGGCACUCAUUUACAGUAAGCAGCGUCUGUUACCAGCCUCAGGAGCAGAAGGUGAGAGUAAUGAUCACGGAUCUCUGCACCAGUGGCUUCCCCAACCUAGUUACUUGUUUGUAAUUAAGAUGACAAUGCAGCCGGGUGCGGUGGCUCAUGCCUGUAAUCCCAGCUCUUUGGGAGGCUGAGGCGGGCAGAUCACUUGAGGUCAGGAUUGGAGACCGGCCUGGCCAACAUGGUGAAACCCUUUCUCUACCAAAAAUAUAAAAGAUGAGCCAGGUGAGCCAGGUGUGGUGGCUCAUGCCUGUAAUCUCAGCUACUCGGGAGGCUGAAGCAGUAGAAUCGCUUGAACCCAGGAGGUGGAGGUUGUAAUAAGCCGAGAUCAUGCCACUGUACUCCAGUCUGGGCGACAGAGCGAGGCUCUGUCUCCAAAAAAAAGAAAAAAAGAAAAGACAAUGCAACACAUUUUCACUUCCUUCAGGAAUUAGUACAUUCCAAUUUGAAGGGACAGGAGAAGAUGGCUAGGUGUGCCCAGAUCUUGGAUUCUAAAGACAGAAGGCCAUGAACAAGUGCUUGUUUUCUGGUUGGUGGCAUUGGAGGAAGGAUGAUAGCAGGCGCCGCACACAGAGGGUUUUCCAGGAGGUGGCAGUGCGCCCUAAGGCUGGAUCUUGGCUGUGCCUGCCUUGUGUAUCAACCAAAGAAUAUUGUAAUUGAGACAUAACAUUAUAAUGCAUUCCAGACCACACAGCUACUCGAGUGUCACCUCAAAAUGCUUCUUACUAGUUUCAAAGUCACUGUAACCAGGGUAGGGAGCUGGAAGCGAGGUAGAGGGUGGGAAGAAAUGGGAGGGAGCUCUUGGAGACAAAUCCGGCAGCGACACUUAGCAUUGCUGUGAAUGGAGUUUCAAUACCAUCAGACCAGGAGAUACCCUGAUGCAUAUUUACAACUGCUCCCACGUUCACCUCUGAAGACCAAUAAAAGAAACUGAAGGACUCAUAUUGUCUCCAUUUUAAUUCCCAGGUUUACAAGAAAUAUUUCAUUAUUCUAAUUCACAGGGAAAUAAAGCAUCUUCCCUUUUUAAAUGAAAGGUCUCCUUGUUCAGGGUGAAGAGCAAAUCAAAUCAGUCUCUCCCCUGAGAGGUAAGGUUGGCCCCAGAUACCAGACUGUGAGGUGAAUGGCCACGUGUGGAUGAUGGUGAUGGGAGGAGGGAGGAGAAAAAAGAACACUGGGUGUUGACCAGAUCGUGCGUGUGAAACACACAUAAGAGAUGUAUUCACACGGAGUCCAUCACAGGCAGGGCAGAUUGACUCUGUAAUUUCCAAUGCCUGACAAUGACAUCUCGGGACAGACUAAGUGAUGGAGGAAUAAGAGGGAGGCUAGGCAGGUGUCUUUCCCCUGCAAUAGGCUGUUGGCUGGGGUGCUGGUUUACGCAGGCACAUUUACAGAAAUGAAAGAGCUGGAUAAGAUCAGAGCAAGGAGUGCUACAAUGACUCCUUAGUGUUGUCACAUCGUUUACUAGACACAUUUCUCGCUUGGGAGCCUGACUUCCUGUUUACACAGUUCUUAUUUGUAUUUUUUUGUUUAUAGCUCCUUGGACUUAGCCAGAGACCUCCAUAUGGAUGAGAGAAGAGUAAAGUCAGCCAGGUGGAUUGCUUGGGAAAUCUGUGCAAAUGAAAAUGAUACUUAAAGAAAAAAAGCCCAGCCUUUAAAUGCCUUUGAAUUCAUCCAGAGUCUGUAUGUGGUUUCCCUUUAAUUUAGAAAACUAGUUGCUUUCUGAUUUCCUCAACCCUCUUGCACUGGAACUUUGUUCUAUAUUCUCCGCAAAUCCCUUCUUCUGCAAAACUCUCUUUAUUCAGCUCUCUUACCUAAUUCUAAGAGUGAUCCAUGUUGAGAACGCACAGAAGUAGUGUUUCCAUGCCUUGCUGGUAGCAAUCAAAAUAUACCUGCCUUUCCCAUGGCCGAGUGAUGUUUUUAAAGCUAAAAAACAAAGCAGACAAACAAGCAAAACAUUUACACACCAAAAAACUGGUUUUCAGUGCUGGGGUGAUGUUCUUCCUAUGGCCCUCUGCCAAGAGGCCAGGCCUUCCUAGCAGCGACCAGACUGCUUUCUGGACAAGUAGGGAGAAGUGCCUAUUUUGCAGAGAGUGGGAAACCAUUCACCAAGUGCAGAACUGGGUUAUUUAAUGGGGUGGUGGCAGCUCAAGAAAGCUCAUCAAUAAUCAAGUGAGGGGGGCAGGAAGGGGAAGACUGGAGAAUUACUGAAGCAGGUGGGCUUUCAGCAUGGGGACUCAGCAGAAGGCAGGAGUGGAAUGUAGACUCCUCUGGGCAGCGCAAGACACAGAAUGUUCAGAUUCCCACAGAAGAGUAAUGUGCAAGAGGUGAGAUGCAGUACAUUCCCUUUUCUUUUGCCAUUGUAGUUGCUGGUGUGAGGGUCAAACUCUAAGGGGAGAGAGUCUGAUUAAGCUGGGGUCACAUGUUUGGCUGUACCUAGGUGGUGAGAGCUUCUCGUAGAAACCAAUAGCCUGUGUGGCUUAUAGUCAGGACAUCUUGAGGCUUUAUACAAUAUGAAGGGUGUAAUUCUUCACAUGGAAAUUUGGGAGCUGUU